rnacentral:lncRNA from 1 species
AUGCGAGGUAAUUGAGGUUAAAAUAUGUUUUUUACGAAGUCAAACUUUUUUACUUUUUGUAAUCAUGUUUAAAUGCAAACAUUACUUUGCCCCUAAAUCGUAGGCAACAUUGAAAUAAGUGACCUUGUUUAGAAACCCUUGGUUGCCUAAAGCGGGAUGUAAACGAACUAAAUAAAAUGCGGCUGCUUCUUAUUUAGUUUAAAAUCAUGUUAUAGUAAGUCAUAUUAAAUGUGUUUCGAAGUUUAAUCGCUUUAAUUAUUUGAAUAAAAGAUGCUUUGAGUAUGUUCUACAUAAGCUUUAAAAAUACAAAUGCAUGUCAUUGUGUAUGUAAAACACUAUAAGCAGUUGUGAAAUAACAAAAUGAAAAAGUUAAAUACCCUUCCUGACCUCAUAAGAUCAUUCGCUGUUUUAGGAGUGUUCGUUUUCAUGGUAUGCUGUGUUUUUUUGGAAUGUUGUUCGUCUCUUGGACUUUAAUUUUAUUUUGUUCAUGGUUUUAAUUAACUUUAUUUGAUUCAUGGUUUGAGAUGUUGAUUGUCCUUUUGGUAUUAUUUUACUUUAAAGACAUUAACUUGCAGUAAUGAAAAUCGGCCAAAAAACACCUCAAAGUAAAGUGAAGAAGAUUAACGCAAUAAGACAAAUAUCCGCGAAAAUAACUUAAUUUGCUAACGGUGAUAUAUAUAUAUAGAACCAAAUCGUUAUCAUGAUACAUUUAGCUACACUGAUCUAUAAUUGUUAAACCUUUUACUACUUGAAUAAUGACGAAAUAUAUCAAAGGGACAUCAAACUAAUAAUUAAAAACGAACUGACAAAGCCGGGCAAAAAACGAACAAGACAAGCAACAGUAUACAAAACACAACAUAUAAAACUACAGAUUGAGCAACACAAACCCCUCCAAAAAAUUUUUGAGUGAACUCAGGGGCUCCCAAAGGGUAGGCAGAUCAUGUUCUACAUGUGACACCCUUCUUAGUUUAAACAUAUUUAUUUAUAGUGGAUCGGGAACUUAAAUUAUUCGCUUUCCACUUUGCGGGUGUGAGUGCUGCCUUGUAGCGGCAUUAGCCUCCUCUUUUUCGAAAUCUACAAAGGUGUGUUUAACGUGCAAGAGAUAUGGCUCUCUCUUAAUACGGGUCAGCCAUUUAUCGUCCCCUUCCGACGGACUUUCAUCGUUUCCUCAAGACCAUACUCACAAAUGGUGUCAAGGAAGAGCCGAAAAUUCAGUCCCUGAAAUUUU